UCCCUAUCUACCGCAGUUUCGGACAUUUGGUUCAUGCACUCGGCCGAGCGGCCGGUGGUGCGAAGCUACCAUCCGCGGGAUUAUGCCUGAACGCCUCUAAGGCCGAAGCCAGCCUAGCCGAAUCCGGCAAGGAUAUACUCACUGUGGAGCCCCGAGUGUCGGGAGGCUCUAAACAAUGUGACUUUACAAGUCGCGUUUUAUUCGUAAGACGCGACGUCGCGAAGCCCAUUUGGAACGCGAAGAACGGUGCGAGCGGUAUUAACACGUGCACCACGGCGUCGAAGUUUCGAAUUUACCUCAGUUCGAUGUCGGGGCUCGGAA